rnacentral:rRNA from 1 species
GCUCAGAACGAACGCUGGCGGCGCGCCUAAUACAUGCAAGUCGAGCGAGAAGACGUAGCAAUACGUUUGUAAAGCGGCGAACGGGUGAGGAAUACAUGGGUAACCUACCCUCGAGUGGGGAAUAACUAGCCGAAAGGUUAGCUAAUACCGCAUACGACUCUUGAUCUGUGGAUCGAGAGAGAAAGCGAUACCGUGGGUAUCGCGCUCCUGGAUGGGCUCAUGUCCUAUCAGCUUGUUGGUGAGGUAACGGCUCACCAAGGCUUCGACGGGUAGCUGGUCUGAGAGGACGAUCAGCCGCACUGGCACUGCGACACGGGCCAGACUCCUACGGGAGGCAGCAGUAAGGAAUAUUGCGCAAUGGGCGACAGCCUGACGCAGCGACGCCGCGUGGGGGAUGAAGGUCUUCGGAUUGUAAACCCCUUUCGGCAGGGAAGAUGGGACGGGCAACCGUUCGGACGGUACCUGCAGAAGCAGCCACGGCUAACUUCGUGCCAGCAGCCGCGGUAAUACGAAGGUGGCAAGCGUUGUUCGGAUUUACUGGGCGUACAGGGAGCGUAGGCGGUUGUGUAAGCCCUCCGUGAAAUCUCCGGGCCUAACCCGGAAAGUGCGGAGGGGACUGCUCGGCUAGAGGAUGGGAGAGGAGCGCGGAAUUCCCGGUGUAGCGGUGAAAUGCGUAGAGAUCGGGAGGAAGGCCGGUGGCGAAGGCGGCGCUCUGGAACAUUUCUGACGCUGAGGCUCGAAAGCGUGGGGAGCAAACAGGAUUAGAUACCCUGGUAGUCCACGCCUUAAACGAUGGAUACUAAGUGUCGGCGGGUUACCGCCGGUGCCGCAGCUAACGCAGUAAGUAUCCCGCCUGGGAAGUACGG